rnacentral:rRNA from 1 species
GUGGGGAUACGCUCGGAACGGACGCUAUACCGCAUACGUCCUACGGAGAAGCAGGGACCUUCGGGCCUUGCGCUAUCAGAUGAGCCUAGUCGAUAGCUAGUUGGUGAGUAAUGGCUCACCAAGGCGACGAUCCGUAACUGUCUGAGAGGAUGAUCAGUCACACUGGAACUGAGACACGGUCCAGACUCCUACGGAGGCAGCAGUGGGGAAUAUUGGACAAUGGGCGAAAGCCUGAUCCAGCCAUGCCGCGUGUGUGAAGAAGGUCUUCGGAUUGUAAAGCACUUUAAGUUGGAAGGAAGGGUUGUAGAUUAAUACUCUGCAAUUUUGACGUUACCGACAGAAUAAGCACCGGCUAACUCUGUGCCAGCAGCCGCGGUAAUACAGAGGGUGCAAGCGUUAAUCGGAAUUACUGGGCGUAAAGCGCGCGUAGGUGGUUUGUUAAGUUGGAUGUGAAAUCCCCGGGCUCAACCUGGGAACUGCAUUCAAAACUGACUGACUAGAGUAUGGUAGAGGGUGGUGGAAUUUCCUGUGUAGCGGUGAAAUGCGUAGAUAUAGGAAGGAACACCAGUGGCGAAGGCGACCACCUGGACUAAUACUGACACUGAGGUGCGAAAGCGUGGGAGCAAAC